rnacentral:rRNA from 1 species
ACGAACGCUGGCGGCUGCUUAACACAUGCAAGUCGAACGGAGUGGCGAACGGGUGAGUAACGCGUGAGCAACCUGCCUAUGACAGUGGGAUAGCCUCGGGAAACCGGGAGUAAUACCGCAUAGUCAUAGAUGGGCUAGCGUCUGAUUAGCUAGUUGGUGAGAUAACAGCCCACCAAGGCGACGAUCAGUAGCCGGGCUGAGAGGAUGAACCGCCACAUCUGAACUGAGACACGGUACAAACUCCUACGGGAGGCAGCAGUGGGGAAUAGUGCACAAUGGGGGAAACCCUGAUGCAUCGAGGCCGCGUGAACGAAGAAGGUAGUCGUAUCGUAAAGUUUUGUCCUAUGGGAAGCAGUACCAUAGAAGAAAGCUCCGGCUAAAUACGUGCCAGCAGCCGCGGUAAUAC